rnacentral:rRNA from 1 species
GAACUGAAGAGUUUGAUCAUGGCUCAGAUUGAACGCUGGCGGCAGGCCUAACACAUGCAAGUCGAGCGGAUGAAAGGAGCUUGCUCCUGGAUUCAGCGGCGGACGGGUGAGUAAUGCCUAGGAAUCUGCCUGGUAGUGGGGGAUAACGUCCGGAAACGGGCGCUAAUACCGCAUACGUCCUGAGGGAGAAAGUGGGGGAUCUUCGGACCUCACGCUAUCAGAUGAGCCUAGGUCGGAUUAGCUAGUUGGUGGGGUAAAGGCCUACCAAGGCGACGAUCCGUAACUGGUCUGAGAGGAUGAUCAGUCACACUGGAACUGAGACA